rnacentral:rRNA from 1 species
UCAGCAACGGCGAGUGAAGCGGCAAAAGCUCAAAUUUGAAAUCUGAGGCUUUCAGCCCCCGAGUUGUAAUUUGAAGAUGGUGUUCUGGUGCCGGCCCCCUGUCUACGUUCCUUGGAACAGGACAUCACAGAGGGUGAGAAUCCCGUCUGGCGGGGCGGCCUGGCUCCGUGUAGAGCGCCAUCGACGAGUCGAGUUGUUUGGGAAUGCAGCUCUAAGUGGGUGGUAAAUUCCAUCUAAAGCUAAAUAUUGGCGAGAGACCGAUAGCGAACAAGUACAGUGAUGGAAAGAUGAAAAGAACUUUGAAAAGAGAGUGAAAAAGUACGUGAAAUUGUUGAAAGGGAAGGGUAUUGGAUCAGACUUGGUGCUGUGCGAAUAGCGGCCCUUCUUGGGCUGCCCACUCGCACUCCACCGGGCCAGCAUCGGUUUGGGCGGCAAGACAAUGGCGGGGGAACGUGGCACUGCUCUCGGGCAGUGUGUUUAUAGCCCCCGCUGAUGUUGCCUGCCUAGACCGAGGACUGCGGCUUCUGCCUAGGAUGCUGGCGUAAUGAUCCAACACCGCCCGUCUUGA